CCCUUAGAUGUUCUGGGCCGCACGCGCGCUACACUGAUGCAUUCAACGAGUUUCUUCCUGGUCCGAGAGGAAUGGGUAACCUUUUGAAAGUGCAUCGUGAUAGGGAUAGACUAUUGCAAUUAUUGGUCUUCAACGAGGAAUUCCUAGUAGACGUAGUUCAUCAGACUGCAUCGAUUACGUCCCUGCCCUUUGUACACACCGCCCGUCGCUCCUACCGAUUGAAUGUGUUGGUGAGGAGCUCGGAUUGGCAGCAGUUGGUGGUUCGCCACCGGCUAUUGCUGAGAAGUCCUCCAAACCGCCCCAUUUAGAGGAAGGAGAAGUCGUAACA
rnacentral:rRNA from 1 species